GGACGAGACCUCGACCUACUAACUAGCUACUCUUUACUUUUGUAAGGAACUAGCUUCUUAGAGGGACUUUGGGAGUUUAUCUCAAGGAAGUUCGAGCCUAUAACAGGUCUGUGAUGCCCUUAGAUGGCCUGGGCUGCACGUGCGCUACAAUGACAGAGUCAGCGAGUAUUACCCUUCUCCGUCGGGAGUGGGCAAUCUUUUGAAACUCUGUCGUGAUAGGGAUUGAUCCUUGCAAUUAUGGAUCAUGAACGAGGAAUUCCUAGUAAGGACAAGUCAUCACCUUGUGCUGAUUACGUCCCUGCCCUUUGUACACACCGCCCGUCGCUUCAACCGAUUGGAUGAUCCGGCAAAUUACACGGACUUCUGCAGUCGCUGGUACCUCGUAUCGCUAUGCGGGAGGAAGUGUCGUGAGCCUUAUCAUCUAGAGGAUGAAGAAGUCGUAACACGGUAUCCGUAGGUGAACCUGCGGAUGGAUCAUUC
rnacentral:rRNA from 1 species